AUAUUUGCAGUGAAAAAGGCUUACUUGCAUUCAAAAUCACCUUUCAUUCCAAUAAAAUACAUAAACCGCGGGAAUACAUCACAGAAGAUGGUCCACCGAAUCAAACAUGUACACAAAAUGAAGAAGCGAUAAAGUCAAUAUAGAUUUCGCAAGUGUGAUGACUUUAUGAUAAUUUCUAUGCAUGCCAGCCUUCCCCUUGCAUUUCUACCUAGAACCCGUGAACAAAUGAGCAACUAUACCAGAGCUAGAGCUAGCCCUCCCAGCCACUAAAUCCAUCUAUUAAAUGCAAGUUCAAAAUUGUUGGCCUGCUAGAUGGUAUAAGUAGAUCACAAAAUCUGAAUAGGUAUACAGAGAAAGAAGAAAACAAAACCCAAACCUGAAUAGGGAAAAGCUGAGUAAUUCCACGUUUUUGAAGAGCGUCAACAAGUCUGUUGGGUAAACCAAGUUUAGAAACAGCAAGUUCAUCUUCAUUCGACUCAUCAUCCUCAACCUCAGACUCAUCAUCGUCAUAUUCACUUUCACUAACAUUCAAAGAAUCCUUCCCGAAACCCCCAAUUCCUUUAAACGCUUCUUCACUAAGCACUGAUGAAUUUGGAGUUACAACAGCAGAAGAGACAACAUGUCUCAGACGAACAUGAAAAUGGGAUUUUUUUAAUUCAUUGGACAAAGGAAGAAGAGAUAAAGGUGGUCUUCGAGAAAGUUCGAGUGAAGGGUUAGUUUGGUAUAUGGAGGAAACUCCUAUAAUGGAAGAUGAACAAGCCAUUGCAGACAA